AGCGAACGCUGGCGGCAGGCUUAACACAUGCAAGUCGAGCGCCCCGCAAGGGGAGCGGCAGACGGGUGAGUAACACGUAGGAACGUGCCUUUUGGUUCGGAACAACCCAGGGAAACUUGGGCUAAUACCGGAUAAGCCCUAACGGGGAAAGAUUUAUCGCCAAAAGAUCGGCCCGCGUCUGAUUAGCUAGUUGGUGGGGUAAUGGCCCACCAAGGCUACGAUCAGUAGCUGGUCUGAGAGGAUGAUCAGCCACAUUGGGACUGAGACACGGCCCAAACUCCUACGGGAGGCAGCAGUGGGGAAUAUUGGACAAUGGGGGCAACCCUGAUCCAGCCAUGCCGCGUGAGUGAUGAAGGCCUUAGGGUUGUAAAGCUCUUUUAGCAGGGAUGAUAAUGACGGUACCUGCAGAAAAAGCCCCGGCUAACUUCGUGCCAGCCGCUGCAGUAA
rnacentral:rRNA from 1 species